GUAGGCGGUUUAAUAAGUGAAUAGUGAAACCUGGUGGCUCAACCAUACAGACUAUUAUUCAAACUGUUAAACUCGAGAAUGGUAGAGGUAACUGGAAUUUCUAGUGUAGGAGUGAAAUCCGUAGAUAUUAGAAGGAACACCGAUGGCGUAGGCAGGUUACUGGGCCAUUUCUGACGCUAAGGCACGAAAGCGUGGGGAGCGAACCGGAUUAGAUACCCGGGUAGUCCACGCCGUAAACGAUGGAUACUAGCNUGUUGGAGGUAUCGACCCCUUCAGUAGCGAAGCUAACGCGUUAAGUAUCCCGCCUGUGGAGUACGGCCGCAAGGCUAAAACAUAAAGGAAUUGACGGGGACCCGCACAAGCGGUGGAUUAUGUUCUUUAAUUCGAUGAUAACCGAAGAACCUUACCAGGGCUUGACAUCCAGGGAAGGUCUGCGAAAGUAGACUGUGCCUUUUGGAACCCUGUGACAGGUGAUGCAUGGCCGUCGUCAGCUCGUGUCGUGAGAUGUUAGGUUAAGUCCUUCAACGAGCGCAACCCUUGUGAAUAGUUGUAUUUUUCUAUUCAGACUGCCCCGGUAACGGGGAGGAAGGAGGGGAUGAUGUCAGGUCAGUAUUUCCCUUACGUCCUGGGCUAGAAACGUAAUACAAUGGCUAGUACAAUGCGCAGCGAAGCCCCGAGGUGAAGCAAAUCGCAUCAAAGCUAGUCCCA
rnacentral:rRNA from 1 species